CAUGAUCCUCCCUGCCUGCCUCUCCGUUGUCUGUGAAUAAAACAUGAAUCUUUCCCCUGACCGGGCUCGUAUAAAUCUAUACCGAACAAGAUAAAACAAGAUUUUACUGAGUUACAGUUCAUAUAAGAAAAUCAGUCAAUUGAAAUAAAUAAAUGAGGUCCUAAUCUACGGUUUUCACAUGACAGGAAUACAGAUAUGCAUCUGCUGGUCACAGAUUCCAUAAAAAACAGUUUGCCUCACAAUGGGCCUUAGGAUCUCCUCACGGUAUUUCUGUGCAUACAAAUUGCCAUCGAUAAAAUGCAAUUGUGUUAGUUUUCCGUAGCUUAUGCCUGCCCCAUACCAUAACCCCACCGUCACCAUGGGGGAACUCUGUUCACAACGUUGACAUCAGCAAACCGCUCGCCCACACGACGCCAUACACGUGGUCUGCGGUUGAAAGGCCGGUUGGACGUACUGACAAAUGGUCUAAAAUGACGUUGGAGGUGGCUUAUGGUAGAGAAAUGAACAUUCAAUUCUCUGGCAACAGCUCUGGUGGACAUUCUUGCAGUCUGCAUGCCAAUUGCAUUCUCCCUCAACUUGAGACAUCUGUGGCAUUGGUUUGAGUGACAAAACGGCACAUUUUAGAGUGGCCUUUUAUUGUCCCCAGCACAAGGUGCACCUGUGUAAUGAUUACGCUGUUUAGUCAGAGAAAUAAGCUUUUGGUUCCUAUGGAACAUUUCUGGGAUCUUUUAUUUCAGCUCAUGAAAUUGUGUACAUCUCUAUGUAUCUCUCUCUCUCUCUCUGUCUGUCUGUCUCUCUCUAUGAUAAGAUGACAACCUAACUCCCUUAACAACAAGACACUACACUCAACCCUCAAGACUGCCCUACUGAACUACAACACAGAACCUCUGCUUUCAAAGACUUCUGGAGUGUAGUCAUCUGUAUUAUCUAAACCAGGAGUGUCAAACAUACAGACUGGCCAGCGAACCCAUUCAAUGGCCAGCGAUGGAUAUGGGACUAUUUUCUUGUAAAUGUUGAGGACAUUUUUUUUUUUACACCAAUUUUAAUUGCAACCCUCCGGACAUCGGCGAAGAACAAAAUGAGUUUGACACCCCUGAUCUAAAACCAUUCAUUAUAUUCCAAAUGAAAGUCCUUCAUCCUUGGAUGUUGUUCUGUAAUUGCUACAUUGUUAACUGUGGCUUUCAAAGUGAAGGAGAGGAAAAGCUCAAAAAGAGACAGAUGAGUAAAAAGGAGGAGUUCAGACGAAGAGAGACGACACAGUAGAGGAGGUGAAGAGUGGACAGAGAGAGAGAGAAGGAGAGACAGAACUAGAGACGACACAGUAGAGGAGGUGAAGAGUGGACAGAGAGAGAGAGAAGGAGAGACAGAACUAGAGACGACACAGUAGAGGAGGUGAAGAGUGGACAGAGAGAGAGAGAAGGAGAGACAGAACUAGAGACGACACAGUAGAGGAGGUGAAGAGUGGACAGAGAGAGAGAGAAGGAGAGACAGAACUAGAGACGACACAGUAGAGGAGGUGAAGAGUGGACAGAGAGAGAGAGAAGGAGAGACAGAACUAGAGACGACACAGUAGAGGAGGUGAAGAGUGGACAGAGAGAGAGAGAAG